UCUCUGUACUGUCGUAUGGGCAGGCGUUCGCGCUAAAAUCAAACAGUUUUGUUAAUUUCAACUGGCAGUGAAAUAGUUUAAACAUCGCGGGCUUACCUGUUCCACUAGGCCCAGAUUGUGAUUGGCAUUGAAAACAAAGGCGGAGGACUGCUGGUCGCUGCCCACGCUAUCCGUAAUGGAAUCAUCCGUGUCGGGUUUAAGGAAUUUCGGCUUAAACGUGGCCAUGGUUUGAAUUAUUUUGCCAAAUUUGGUUGUUUACAAUUUCGGCGCAGCUGUUACUUGCCAAACUUAACCCACGCAAACCCCCUAUAUUUAAACAGAUCAUGCCUCCUCUUUACUUAAAAACAUAAUGAUCAUGCUUUCUUUUACCUGAACUUGGCUUAAAUUCUUUAAGUUUAAUAACUUUUAUGCGUAUAAAAUACACAAUUUCGGCGCAGCUGUUACUUGCCGAACUUAACCCACAUAUACCCCUCUUUUUAAACAGUAACAGAAUCCAUACCCUUUAAACUGGAGCUGCGAACAGAGAAAAGAUCUGAGAAAAUUAUACAUUUAUUUAAGAAUAAGAAUAUAAGAAAAUUAUACAUUUAUUUAGCUGAAAAUCAUGGAGAAAAUAAUAAUAUUGAUGUUUGAGUUAACAUUAUAAAUAUCUACUAUAUGUUCUCGCAGCUCAUCGUCUCCCAGUGCAUACAGUAAAGGCAAUCUUGGUGAACAGCUGCCGCUGCCUGGUGCAGACAUCUUCAUUUAUUCGCUAACAUUUUAUAAAUCCCAUGGAAUGCACUCACUCUUCUUUUUACAGUCCCCCCAAGCCCCUAGAUGGUUUGCCUUGGAUAGAUUUCACUGUAUUUUGGCUUUGACAGUUUUGGCAAUAUAUAAAUUUUAAUAAGUGCACUGAAGGCCAAA